rnacentral:rRNA from 1 species
UUGCCAGACUCCUACGGGAGGCAGCAGUGAGGAAUAUUGGUCAAUGGGCGGGAGCCUGAACCAGCCAAGCCGCGUGAGGGAAGAAGGUACAGCGUAUCGUAAACCUCUUUUGUCAGGGAACAAAGGCGGGGACUAGUCCCCGGAUGAGGGUACCUGAAGAAAAAGCAUCGGCUAACUCCGUGCCAGCAGCCGCGGUAAUACGGAGGAUGCGAGCGUUAUCCGGAUUUAUUGGGUUUAAAGGGUGCGUAGGCGGCAUUAUAAGUUAGUGGUAAAAUAUUGGGGCUUCACCUCACUACGCCAUUAAUACUGUAGAGCUAGAGAACAGACGAGGUAGGCGGAAUAAGUUAAGUAGCGGUGAAAUGCAUAGAUAUAACUUAGAACACCGAUAGCGAAGGCAGCUUACCAGACUGAGUCUGACGCUGAUGCACGAGAGCAUGGGUAGCGAACAGGAUUAGAUACCCUAGUA